UACGUAGGGUGCGAGCGUUGUCCGGAAUUACUGGGCGUAAAGAGCUCGUAGGUGGUUUGUCGCGUUGUUCGUGAAAACUCACAGCUUAACUGUGGGCGUGCGGGCGAUACGGGCAGACUGGAGUACUGCAGGGGAGACUGGAAUUCCUGGUGUAGCGGUGGAAUGCGCUGAUAUCAGGAGGAACACCGGUGGCGAAGGCGGGUCUCUGGGCAGUAACUGACGCUGAGGAGCGAAAGCGUGGGGAGCGAACAGG
rnacentral:rRNA from 1 species